GUCGACGCUGGCGGCGUGCCUAUUACAUGGUAGUCGUGCGGACAGAUGGGAGCUUGCUCCCUGAUGUUAGCGGCGGACGGGUGAGUAACACGUGGGUAACCUGCCUGUAAGACUGGGAUAACUCCGGGAAACCGGGGCUAAUACCGGAUGGUUGUUUGAACCGCAUGGUUCAAACAUAAAAGGUGGCUUCGGCUACCACUUACAGAUGGACCCGCGGCGCAUUAGCUAGUUGGUGAGGUAACGGCUCACCAAGGCAACGAUGCGUAGCCGACCUGAGAGGGUGAUCGGCCACACUGGGACUGAGACACGGCCCAGACUCCUACGGGAGGCAGCAGUAGGGAAUCUUCCGCAAUGGACGAAAGUCUGACGGAGCAACGCCGCGUGAGUGAUGAAGGUUUUCGGAUCGUAAAGCUCUGUUGUUAGGGAAGAACAAGUACCGUUCGAAUAGGGCGGUACCUUGACGGUACCUAACCAGAAAGCCACGGCUAACUACGUGCCAGCAGCCGCGGUAAUACGUAGGUGGCAAGCGUUGUCCGGAAUUAUUGGGCGUAAAGGGCUCGCAGCGGUUUCUUAAGUCUGAUGUGAAGCCCCCGGCUCAACCGGGGAGGGUCAUUGGAACUGGGGAACUUGAAAGCA
rnacentral:rRNA from 1 species